AACCUGCCCUUGACUCUGGGAUAAGCCUGGGAAACUGGGUCUAAUACUGGAUACUACCUCUUGCCGCAUGGUGGGUGGUGGAAAGGGUUUUACUGGUUUUGGAUGGGCUCACGGCCUAUCAGCUUGUUGGUGGGGUAAUGGCUCACCAAGGCGACGACGGGUAGCCGGCCUGAGAGGGUGACCGGCCACACUGGGACUGAGACACGGCCCAGACUCCUACGGGAGGCAGCAGUGGGGAAUAUUGCACAAUGGGCGGAAGCCUGAUGCAGCGACGCCGCGUGAGGGAUGACGGCCUUCGGGUUGUAAACCUCUUUCAGUAGGGAAGAAGCGAGAGUGACGGUACCUGCAGAAGAAGCGCCGGCUAACUACGUGCCAGCAGCCGCGGUAAUACGUAGGGCGCAAGCGUUGUCCGGAAUUAUUGGGCGUAAAGAGCUCGUAGGCGGUUUGUCGCGUCUGCUGUGAAAGCCCGGGGCUCAACCCCGGGUCUGCAGUGGGUACGGGCAGACUAGAGUGCAGUAGGGGAGACUGGAAUUCCUGGUGUAGCGGUGAAAUGCGCAGAUAUCAGGAGGAACACCGAUGGCGAAGGCAGGUCUCUGGGCU
rnacentral:rRNA from 1 species